GCAAUCUAUUGAUAAUAUUUUAAUAUUUUAAGAAACUCUCAUAGAAGGCAGACGACAAUUAACCAUGAAAUGAGUCUAGAUGCGCGAACAUCUCCUGGCGCACGACCUUGUUUGGAUAAAUAAGAUUGCCCAUUUUUACGUGUAUUUGUGUUGAACUUUUAUUUUUCCGGAGGUUUUAUUUAAUUGUGUUCUCGCUUUUGUUUUAAAUAAUAAUAGUAUUGAGCUUU